rnacentral:misc_RNA from 1 species
GGGGAUGCUGGGGGUGAUGGAGGUGGUGCAGAUGGUAGUGGUGUUGAGGGUGUUGUUGUAGAUGGUCGCGUUGAUGAUGGUGGAGAUGGAGGGGGGGCAGCUGGAAUUGCGGGCCUGGCGGAUUGAGGAGGUUGAGCUGAAGAGUUAAAAGAGGUUGAAGGGACCGGGGGAUCAGUUGUCUGAUCAGGCAAAGUUAUUGCAGGUGGAGGUAAAGUGGACGUAGAAUUUGAUGGUAAAGAAGGGGCUGUUGUUGAUGAUGGUGAGGUGGCGGAGGAUGUUGUUGGUGGAACUGCAGAAGGGGAAGAAUUUGGUGAAGGUGAUGUUGAGGCCAUGUCUGUUUCCAACAAAAUGUACGAGAAACUAUACCU